GACGAACGCCGGCGGCGUGCUUAACACAUGCAAGUCGAACGGUGAAAGCGGAGCUUGCUCCGCUGGAUCAGUGGCGAACGGGUGAGUAACACGUGGGCAACCUGCCCCUCACUUCGGGAUAACUCCGGGAAACCGGGGCUAAUACCGGAUAUGACCUCCUUGGGCAUCCUUGGAGGUGGAAAGUUUUUCGGUGAGGGAUGGGCCCGCGGCCUAUCAGCUUGGUGGUUAGGUAGUGGCUCACCAAGGCGACGACGGGUCGCCGGCCUGAGAGGGCGAGCGGCCACACUGGGACUGAGACAAGGCCCCGACUCCUACGGGAGGCAGCAGUGGGGAAUAUUGCGCAAUGGGCGAAAGCCUGACGCAGCAACGCCGCGUGCGGGAUGACGGCCUUCGGGUUGUAAACCGCUUUCAGCAGGGAAGAAGCCGCAAGGUGACGGUACCUGCAGAAGAAGCACCGGCUAACUACGUGCCAGCCGCCGCUGUAA
rnacentral:rRNA from 1 species